GGUGAUGACGCAACAGAAGAACCAACUUCAACAUAGUAUGCGUCACAGAGGCUCAAGCGGACAAUGGCACAAAAUAAGAAUGAAGCCGAAGAACAAAGAGGAAGGCGCCGAUAAGGAUACACGGUUUGAGGUUUGCGUGUUAUAAGUAUGAGUUGUGUGUUGUAUGUGUGUCUUGUCUGCGCUGCUGUAUUCUUAUUCCGCUGGACCUAA